rnacentral:rRNA from 1 species
GAACCAGCAUGCCGCGUGCAGGAAGACGGCCCUCUGGGUUGUAAACUGCUUUUAUUCGGGAAUAAACCUACUUACGUGUAAGUAGCUGAAUGUACCGAAGGAAUAAGGAUCGGCUAACUCCGUGCCAGCAGCCCGCGGUAAUANNCU